GACGAACGCUGGCGGCGUGCCUAAUACAUGCAAGUCGAACGCUUCUUUCCUCCCGAGUGCUUGCACUCAAUUGGAAAGGGGAGUGGCGGACGGGUGAGUAACACGUGGGUAACCUACCCAUCAGAGGGGGAUAACACUUGGAAACAGGUGCUAAUACCGCAUAACAGUUUAUGCCGCAUGGCAUAAGAGUGAAAGGCGCUUUCGGGUGUCGCUGAUGGAUGGACCCGCGGUGCAUUAGCUAGUUGGUGAGGUAACGGCUCACCAAGGCCACGAUGCAUAGCCGACCUGAGAGGGUGAUCGGCCACACUGGGACUGAGACACGGCCCAGACUCCUACGGGAGGCAGCAGUAGGGAAUCUUCGGCAAUGGACGAAAGUCUGACCGAGCAACGCCGCGUGAGUGAAGAAGGUUUUCGGAUCGUAAAACUCUGUUGUUAGAGAAGAACAAGGACGUUAGUAACUGAACGUCCCCUGACGGUAUCUAACCAGAAAGCCACGGCUAACUACGUGCCAGCAGCCGCGGUAAUACGUAGGUGGCAAGCGUUGUCCGGAUUUAUUGGGCGUAAAGCGAGCGCAGGCGGUUUCUUAAGUCUGAUGUGAAAGCCCCCGGCUCAACCGGGGAGGGUCAUUGGAAACUGGGAGACUUGAGUGCAGAAGAGGAGAGUGGAAUUCCAUGUGUAGCGGUGAAAUGCGUAGAUAUAUGGAGGAACACCAGUGGCGAAGGCGGCUCUCUGGUCUGUAACUGACGCUGAGGCUCGAAAGCGUGGGGAGCAAACAGG
rnacentral:rRNA from 1 species